GAUGAACGCUGGCGGCGUGCUUAACACAUGCAAGUCGAACGAGAAGUGAAGACGGAACCCUUCGGGCGGAAGGCUUUAUUUCGAGUGGCGGACGGGUGAGUAACGCGUGGGUAACCUGCCUCAUACGGGGGGAUAACAGUUGGAAACGACUGUUAAUACCGCAUAAGACCACAGCACCGCAUGGUGCGGGGGUAAAAACUCCGGUGGUAUGAGAUGGACCCGCGUUCGAUUAGCCAGUUGGCGGGGUAACGGCCCACCAAAGCGACGAUCGAUAGCCGAUCUGAGAGGAUGACCGGCCACAUUGGGACUGAGACACGGCCCAAACUCCUACGGGAGGCAGCAGUGGGGAAUAUUGCACAAUGGGGGAAACCCUGAUGCAGCGACGCCGCGUGAGUGAAGAAGUAUUUCGGUAUGUAAAGCUCUAUCAGCAGGGAAGAAAAUGACGGUACCUGAGGAAGAAGCCCCGGCUAACUACGUG
rnacentral:rRNA from 1 species